rnacentral:tRNA from 2 species
GCGGGCGUAAUUCAAUGGCAGAAUGCCAGCUUCCCAAGCUGAUCAUGCGGGUUCGAUUCCCGUCGCCCGCUCCA